rnacentral:lncRNA from 1 species
AUAUUUUUGUAAAAACAUAAAAUAUCACCCCUAUAGUUUCACAGUUUCUCACUUUAGUACUCUAUAGUUUAAAGCGUAUCAUUUUUAUACCCUAUGAUUUUAUUUUUCUUUUUUUGUUAUCUUCUUUCACUAAUUUUUUUCGUUAAAUCAGUGAUAAAGUUAAAAUUAAAGAAUACUAAAGUGAAUAUUCGAUAAACUAUAGGUGGAGUAUCUAAAGUUUUUUGUAUGUGAUUUAACGAAAAGUUAAUGAAGGGGCUGACACAAAAAGAAAAAUGAAAUCACAGAGUACUAAAUUGAUAUACUUUAAACUACAAGAUGCUAAAGUGAGAAAGUGUGAAAUCAUAUGGGUGGUAUUUGAAGUUUACUAUAUAUUUUUUUGGGUGGGAAGUGUGGUGCAUAAAAAGAAAAGAAUAUCUAAUUUAUAUAUGUUUAGAAAAAAAAAUUGCUAUUUGUACACUAGUCGUAUAGAUGUAAAUCUUACAACUCUAUUAUAGUAGAAUUCACAAAUAUUUAAAUAGAUUUUUAUUUUAAAAAUAUUAAUAGGACUUGUAGGAAAUGAUAGUUAUUGGAUGAAUAAAGUGUAAGAUCUAUAUGUUGCUUGGAGAUAUAUAGAUAGG